AUGUUGGGAAAGAAAGGGUCCAUGCCCCAGAAGGACACUCUGCUGCUACUGCUCUUUCCAGCAGUUCAAUAUUUUAAUUUCCCUGUAUUUCUUAGGACAAGGAAAGAGGAGGAGGCGGAAAUAGCAUGGUACUGUGGAGCCCCUCACUAUCACCCAUGGAGCCCCAAGGGCUCCGCGGAGCACUAUUUGAGAACCCCUGGCCUAACAUAUCCCAUUCUGGUUGGAGGGGUGCAAUUGAUGUGUGUGUGUGUGAACUAUAGCAUGAGAGAGAGGGAAUAGGAGUAGGAAGUAAAGGAAUGCAACUGGAAGAUGUAGUAAAAGGGAGAAGGGAAUAAGAGAAAGUAAAGAUUUGUUUAGCCAAGAAUGGUGGAGAAAGAAAGAGGAUAAGAAAGAAAAGAAAAAUACUAGAAUACAAGGGAGAGUGAAUGGGGAGAGGAUAAAGAAGACAAGAGAGAAAUGAAACAAGAGAGAAAGGUCCCAUCUAUAAUGAUAAUUUAAUGCAGUUUUGAACCAGUAUUGAAAAAAACAGUUUUGCUGUGCAGGUGAUUACAUAAGAAAACCUGGAACCAGUUUGAGGUGUUGAUUACACAAACUACAGAGCACCAGUGCACAAUAAGGGUUUUCUUUGGCACACUUUCAUAGAAGUUUGUUGUCUGUCUGCUGCAAUUUGGAGAUAAUUUCAAACUGCAUUAAAUAGCCAGUGUAGAUGGGCCCAAAGGAAUCAAGGGCAUAACAAGAACUGAAAGGGAAAGGCAUAUCUGUGCACCAGAAUCUAUUGAUCAGUUUAACCAGUGCAACUGGUUACACUGAUUUCAACAGAUAUGCUCUAAGUAUGAUAAGGUUUGGGCCAGGUCAAAUAAUCAUGGAUUUUUUUAAUGUAAUGUCGUAGAUCUGGACGUUUGCCUGAAUGAAUUAUGCUACUCUGUCAAAGUGCCUGUGUGAGUGUUAAUAGUUUCCACAAUUUGGACAUUACUUGAGAGAUGUAGAAUGAAGCCGAAUGAAUGUCUUGUGACUUGAUUAGGAUUUAGCCCCAGGGUUCUAAUAAAUGCUUAAAUCUAGCCCGGGGCUAGGAGGUGUGCUUAUGCUUCAACAUAAAUAUAGAUAGAGUACUUAUUGCUUUAUAAUUGGUACUGGAAAUACAGAUUGUUGUAAGAAUAAAUUGACCCAUUAAUUAGCCUAUUGUCUUUUCCCUUCACACCAGAAUAAUGUUGAAAACAAUAAGACAAACUUGAGAAAAUUUUACUGUAGCCAUUUAAAAAAAACAAAAAAACCCUUAACUGAGAAGCAAUAUUAACAAUCAUAUAUGACUUCCAACUUGGAAAACAAAUUCCUUUGGGGGUCAAGCAGAUUUUGUAUUAUAUUCACUGGCUUACUUUACAUUUAUCAGCUGAUUUUGGUAUUUUAAAAUGACAGUCUAUCCCAGCUGAACUCCACUUUAUUCAGUGUAUAUGUACCUUAAAAAUCACUUGUCAAAUAUGGUGACCUUACACAUUUAAUAGCGUAUUCUUAGAAAUUGAGCCCCUGAAGGCUCAGUGUGUUAAAGCAUUGAGCUGCUAAACUUGUAGACCGAAAGGUAGCAGGUUCAAAACCGGGAAGCGGAGUGAGCGCCUGCUGUUAGCUCCAGCUUCUGCCAACCUAGCAGUUCAAAAACAUGCCAAUGUGAGCAGAUCAAUAGGUACCACUCCAGCGAGAAGGUAAUGGCGCUCCAUGCAAUCAUGCUGGCCACAUGACCUUGGAGGUGUCUACGGACAACGCCAGCUCUUUGGCUUAGAAAUGGCGAUGAGCACCAACCCCCGGAGUCAGACAUGACUGGACUUAACAUCAGGGAAACCUUUACCUUAGGCAAGGAAUACUCAAAAGUAUUUGGUAUUUGUUUGUAGCCUCCCAUCUUAGGUAUUAACCCAGUACUGUUAAUUCUUAGCUUCCAAGAUUAGAUGGAAUCUGGUGCCUUUAGUGUAAUUGGGCCAUUUUAGUUUAAUCUUAAUGUCAAAGAUAGCUGAUACAGUUGGGAAGAGUUCAAGGAAUAUGAGAGCAUCAAACUGUACUGGUUUCAGCGAUGGGCAUUCUUCUCCAUAUGGCAAGACAAGAGAAACGAAGGCAGCAUCAUAAAUAUGCCGGAAGGAGACUGGUGGGCUAAUUAGAAGAUAAGGAAAGUGCAUUAGCAUGGCAGAAUUAAUGAGCUCAUGAAAUCAGUACCUUUGACAAAGGAAGAGCAGUUAGGGAAGAGCUAAUAAAGGUGGCAGCAGAGGGCAACUGCAAUUUCUCAUUUUCAGCAUAUCUAAAUUCAACAUAUAAAUGGAAUUUCAAAAGUCCCUUUAUUUAAAAACAAAAAGGUUUCAAAAGGAUUUUAGCUCAACCAUGUCCAUAUUGCCAUUUUUCACAUGCAUAUUAAGGUUAAUUAUUUUUGUACGGUUCUAACAGGGUAGCUGUAAUCUUCAUUAUCCCAUUCAAAUACCCUGCCUGUAUUGGAAAGCACAUAUUCUCUCU
rnacentral:lncRNA from 1 species